rnacentral:tRNA from 2 species
CAGAGGUGGCUGGCUCGGCUUUCAAAACCAGGGUGGGGA